AUGGUAAACGAGAGGAUACCCCUGCCUUCCCGAUUCACAAUCCACUGCUUGAUCCACUUGGCUACAUCCGCCCCUUAUCCAGCUAAAGGAUUUUUGCUUUUUUCCAUUGAUCAUUAUUCUAUUUAUUCUGACCUCCGUACUUCGAUCGAGAUAUUGGACAUAGAAUGCCACUCUUUAAAAAGGAAAAAAGGAGUACUUGUAGUGAUUUCAGAAUUCGGCAACUUAGCCUACUAA
rnacentral:rRNA from 1 species